UGGUUCAGAAGGGUGGCAUUUUCAGGGCUUUCUGCUCUCUUCAGGCAUUACUUUUCCUAGUGAACCAGUCAACAUUCCCCUACAGUGGCCCCCAUGCCUUUUUGUUUUUCUAGUAGAAAGUUUUCUACUUUUCUACCAUCUGAGAUGAUCAAGACUGUACCUUCAGUCAUAGACUUGCUCUAAAGUUCCAUAACUCCAAUUUUCUGUGAUAUUUUGCUACUGGACAAUAUUCUC
rnacentral:lncRNA from 1 species